rfam:Glossina morsitans morsitans, isolate Yale, WGS project CCAG01000000 data, contig: ctg10000290
AGGUCCCACCAUCGGUAGCGCGCUAAUGACAACCAGCCUCCGCGAAGUAAUACCUAAUGGUCGUCCCGCGGAGGAGAGUGGUAGGUGUAGUGUGUGGAGGGUAGUUUUUAGUACGUAGAAGUCGUAUUUGCUGCCACUAAGAACCAGCAGUAUCUUUUGAAGAUUUUCUACCUCCUGCCCACC